UCAAGGUCACAUCACCACCGUCGAUUCGGUUGACCAAAACCGAAGCACGUGAAAAUGAUAACACAAAGACCUUGCUAACCCGCCCGAUUACCAAGCCUCAGUUUCCCCCUCUCUCUCUGUCUCUCUGUGUGUGAAACCCUAGACAGGCUUCAGUUUACUUGUGUGAGAUCCUCGGGGCUUCUAAAUUCUCGGGCUUUUCAUCUCGCUACAGAAAGCUCGUAUGCUGGAUUUGUGAACUUCUACUUUCAAUACCCAUUUCUCCAUCAGGGUUGCUGGGGUAAUAGGAUGGAUUCAGAAUCUGCUGAUUCAUCGACUGCUCCUCAAACUAAAGCUCCUCAGGCACAACCUCCUGCUGCCACGGACUCUGGAUCAGAUUCUCAGGAUGUGCCAAAUAAGCCAUUUUCUUCUGGCUUGUCAUCAUGGGCCAAAAAUCUGAAAAUUCCUCAGCCAUUAGCACCAACACAGGACAGCUCUACAACUGGGAAUGCUGGACAAUCACCCUUUGCACGCUUUACUAGUGGGUUAGGAUUGCGCUUGUCUCCAAAAGCUCCAUCGGCAGAUGAGGGUUCAAGUGGAAGUCCAACAACUCAGCAACCUGGUUUUAUUGGAACAAUUACAAAAGGCAUAGCUGACUCUUCUAAGAGUGUAGUGAAGGCUGUUCAGGUUAAGGCCCGACAUGUUGUCUCCCAAAACAAACGAAGAUACCAGGAAGGAGGAUUUGAUUUGGACAUGACUUAUAUUACGGAGAACAUUAUUGCUAUGGGAUUCCCUGCUGGUGAUAUGAGCUCUGGGUUUCUGGGAUAUGUUGAGGGAUUCUACAGAAAUCAUAUGGAAGAAGUGAUUAAGUUCUUUGAAACUCAUCAUCAGGGCAAGUACAAAGUAUAUAACCUUUGUUCUGAAAGGCUGUAUGACGCAUCCUUAUUUGAAGGAAAGGUGGCUAGUUUUCCAUUCGAUGACCAUAAUUGCCCACCAAUUCAGCUAAUAACGUUGUUUUGUCGAAGCGCUUAUUCAUGGUUGAAAGAGGAUAUUGAGAAUGUUGUCGUUGUGCAUUGCAAGGCUGGAAUGGCAAGAACAGGAUUGAUGAUUUCCAGUCUUCUUCUUUACUUGAAGUUUUUUCCGACCGCUGAGGAGUCUAUUGACUACUACAACCAGAAAAGAUGUAUUGAUGGAAAGGGCCUUAUUCUUCCAAGUCAGAUUAGGUACGUUAAAUAUUUCGAGCGUAUCUUAACAUACUUCAAUGGUGAAAACCCACCAGGGCGCAGGUGCAUGCUUAGGGGCUUCCGGCUUCAUAGGUGCCCAUACUGGAUCAGGCCCUCCAUUACUGUUUCUGAUCAUAAUGGUGUUCUCUUUUCCACGAAAGAGCAUCCUAGAACUAAGGGUCUUUCGCCAGAAGAUUAUUGGUUUUCUGCUCCAAAGAAGGGUGUAAUGGUCUUUGCGCUGCCAGGGGAACUUGGCUUGACAGAGUUAGUUGGGGACUUCAAAAUCCAUUUUCAUGAUCGUCAAGGAGAUUUUUACUGCUGGUUGAACACAACGAUGACUGAAAAUAGAAAAGUUUUAACCAACAACGAUCUGGAUGGGUUUGACAAGAGAAAACUUCCUUCCCCGGGAUUUCAGGUUGAAGUGGUUUUAGUGGAUUAUAACGGCAAUGUUCCUACGACACCUAACACUGAAACUUCUACUAAGAAACCGGAUGAAAGCUCAGGUACCAAUCCUUCCUCGGAUGACGGGGGUACAGCUGCUCCACAAGAAAGUAAAAGCCCAGGAAAUCAAGAUAAGGAUGAUGUGUUUUCAGACAGUGAGGCAGAGGAAUCUAGCUCUUCCAAGAGCCGGCAAGCAGAAGCAACUUCGGCAACAGCAGGUGGAACUGUGGCCAGUACGACCACCAGUUCUGAGUCUAAUACCAAACCAGAUCAAAUUGCAAGUUUAACACAUGCGACUAAACAAGUUUCUAUUGGAAACGUGGACUCGAAACAGGUACCUCCUGCGAGUGAGCCAAAAGGUUCUGUUGGUGGUGGAAAUGUCCCAGGCCUCGAGGCUCCAAACUCAGAAAGUGAAUUUAAGGCAAUGGCCGCAGAUGCCUCUGUUUUCACGUUUGGAGAUGACGACGACUAUGAAAGUGAGUAAAUCAGGGGGUUGACGUUGGUGCCUGGAAUUAGAGAAUCUGUACAUAAUAUGGUUUGCAAGCUUUAAGUCCAGCAGUUGGUGAUAAUCGGUCAUGUUCAAUCCAUUCGUUCAGUUUGUAAUUGAAGACAGUGACCGUCUUCUUGCAUCCAAGUUCGAGUUCCCAUCCCUGUAAUUUAGCAUCCAAGUUCGAGUUCCCAUCCCUGUAAUUUAGAAUAAUUUAGACCAUCGUUUUUAUGCUAUCCUGCCUGCAACAAGCAAUCCAGCAAAGACAAUUUCACAAAUAUAUGCUACUUUUCAAACCCGAACAUUGUGAAUUUCAACUUAGUUGCGAAGCCCAUUCUGCCUUACUUCCAGCAAAUGC